GGGUUGUGAGGUUAAGCGACUAAGCGUACACGGUGGAUGCCCUGGCAGUCAGAGGCGAUGAAGGACGUGCUAAUCUGCGAUAAGCGUCGGUAAGGUGAUAUGAACCGUUAUAACCGGCGAUUUCCGAAUGGGGAAACCCAGUGUGUUUCGACACACUAUCAUUAACUGAAUCCAUAGGUUAAUGAGGCGAACCGGGGGAACUGAAACAUCUAAGUACCCCGAGGAAAAGAAAUCAACCGAGAUUCCCCCAGUAGCGGCGAGCGAACGGGGAGGAGCCCAGAGCCUGAAUCAGUGUGUGUGUUAGUGGAAGCGUCUGGAAAGGCGCGCGAUACAGGGUGACAGCCCCGUACACAAAAAUGCACAUGCUGUGAGCUCGAUGAGUAGGGCGGGACACGUGGUAUCCUGUCUGAAUAUGGGGGGACCAUCCUCCAAGGCUAAAUACUCCUGACUGACCGAUAGUGAACCAGUACCGUGAGGGAAAGGCGAAAAGAACCCCGGCGAGGGGAGUGAAAAAGAACCUGAAACCGUGUACGUACAAGCAGUGGGAGCACGCUUAGGCGUGUGACUGCGUACCUUUUGUAUAAUGGGUCAGCGACUUAUAUUCUGUAGCAAGGUUAACCGAAUAGGGGAGCCGAAGGGAAACCGAGUCUUAACUGGGCGUUAAGUUGCAGGGUAUAGACCCGAAACCCGGUGAUCUAGCCAUGGGCAGGUUGAAGGUUGGGUAACACUAACUGGAGGACCGAACCGACUAAUGUUGAAAAAUUAGCGGAUGACUUGUGGCUGGGGGUGAAAGGCCAAUCAAACCGGGAGAUAGCUGGUUCUCCCCGAAAGCUAUUUAGGUAGCGCCUCGUGAAUUCAUCUCCGGGGGUAGAGCACUGUUUCGGCAAGGGGGUCAUCCCGACUUACCAACCCGAUGCAAACUGCGAAUACCGGAGAAUGUUAUCACGGGAGACACACGGCGGGUGCUAACGUCCGUCGUGAAGAGGGAAACAACCCAGACCGCCAGCUAAGGUCCCAAAGUCAUGGUUAAGUGGGAAACGAUGUGGGAAGGCCCAGACAGCCAGGAUGUUGGCUUAGAAGCAGCCAUCAUUUAAAGAAAGCGUAAUAGCUCACUGGUCGAGUCGGCCUGCGCGGAAGAUGUAACGGGGCUAAACCAUGCACCGAAGCUGCGGCAGCGACGCUUAUGCGUUGUUGGGUAGGGGAGCGUUCUGUAAGCCUGUGAAGGUGUGCUGUGAGGCAUGCUGGAGGUAUCAGAAGUGCGAAUGCUGACAUAAGUAACGAUAAAGCGGGUGAAAAGCCCGCUCGCCGGAAGACCAAGGGUUCCUGUCCAACGUUAAUCGGGGCAGGGUGAGUCGACCCCUAAGGCGAGGCCGAAAGGCGUAGUCGAUGGGAAACAGGUUAAUAUUCCUGUACUUGGUGUUACUGCGAAGGGGGGACGGAGAAGGCUAUGUUGGCCGGGCGACGGUUGUCCCGGUUUAAGCGUGUAGGCUGGUUUUCCAGGCAAAUCCGGAAAAUCAAGGCUGAGGCGUGAUGACGAGGCACUACGGUGCUGAAGCAACAAAUGCCCUGCUUCCAGGAAAAGCCUCUAAGCAUCAGGUAACAUCAAAUCGUACCCCAAACCGACACAGGUGGUCAGGUAGAGAAUACCAAGGCGCUUGAGAGAACUCGGGUGAAGGAACUAGGCAAAAUGGUGCCGUAACUUCGGGAGAAGGCACGCUGAU
rnacentral:rRNA from 1 species